CCUGCAGCCAUGCAGUGCAAGCCGCCAUCAGCAACCUGGUCCGGGUCAAAAUCAUUCCACACCUUUGACAUCUACCAACUUCAGUGGGAUGGUUGCUUUGGGAAAAGAUGUCACCAUCUCCUGCAAGAGCCAGGAUGAUUUUCAUGGAAUAUUCUAUCUCACCCAACAUACAAGCUCAAGUGCUCAAUGCACAGACAAUGGAACAACAAAAACAUAUUGGAUACCCACAAGCAUUUUGAAAUUAAACACAUUAGAAACUUG